UGGGGAAUAUUGCACAAUGGGGGAAACCCUGAUGCAGCAACGCCGCGUGCGGGAUGACGGCCUUCGGGUUGUAAACCGCUUUCAGCCAUGACGAAGCUUUUGUGACGGUAGUGGCAGAAGAAGCACCGGCUAACUACGUGCCAGCAGCCGCGGUGAUACGUAGGGUGCGAGCGUUGUCCGGAAUUAUUGGGCGUAAAGAGCUUGUAGGCGGUUUGUCGCGUCGAAAGUGUAAACUCAGUGCUUAACGCUGAGCCUGCUUUCGAUACGGGCUGACUAGAGGAAGGUAGGGGAGAAUGGAAUUCCCGGUGGAGCGGUGGAAUGCGCAGAUAUCGGGAGGAACACAAGUGGCGAAGGCGGUUCUCUGGACCUUUCCUGACGCUGAGAAGCGAAAGCGUGGGUAGCAAACAGG
rnacentral:rRNA from 1 species